UGGGUGAAAAAUGAGCGAAAAAUGAGUGAGAAAUGGGGUAAAAUGAGCGGCUCCCGCGGGGGAUUCGAGCGCGGCUCCCGCGGCGCCUCCAUGGGGUGGGUACAGGAAAUAUCAACCAAAAUGGGGGAAAAACACCCAAAUUGGGGAAAAAUGGGGAGAAAAGGUGAAAAUUGGGUGAAAAACGAGUGAGAAAUGGGGGUAAAAUGAGUGAGAAAUGGGGGAAAAUGACAGAGAAAUGAGCAAGAAAUGGGUGAAAAAUGAGCGAGAAAUCAGGGAAAAAUGGGUGAAACAUGAGCCAGAAAUGAGUGAAAAAUUGGGAAAAAAUGGGGAGAAAAGGGGAAAAAUGGGGAGAAAAGGGUGAAAAUUGGGUGAAAAACGAGUGAGAAAUGGGGGUAAAAUGAGCGGCUCCCGCGGGGGAUUCGAACGCGGCUCCCGCGGCGCCUCCAUGGGGUGGGUACAGAAAAUGUAAACCAAAAUGGGGCAAAAACACCCAAAUUGGGGAAAAAUGGGGAGAAAUGGGCAAAAAUUGGGUGAAAAACGAGUGAGAAAUGGGGUAAAAUGAGCGGCUCCCGCGGGGGAUUCGAGCGCUGCUCCCGCGGCGCCUCCAUGGGGUGGGUACAGAAAAAAUAACCCAAAAUGGGGCAAAAAAUAGAGAAAUUGGGGAAAAAUGGGGAGAAAUGGGCAAAAAUUGGGUGAAAAAUGAGCGAAAAAUGAGUGAGAAAUGGGUGAGAAAUGGGGGAAAAAUGAGCAAAAAAUUGG